rnacentral:rRNA from 1 species
GGCUUUUGUUUAAUUGGAGGUUAAAAGUUCCGCCUUCCCGGUGAGGGGACCUCCUUUUUUAACGGCAGCGGUAAAUUGCUUUAAUCGUAGCUCAAUUUCCUUGCCCUUUAAUUGUGGAGCUAACGUGAAUGGUAAGACGAGGGUUAAGCUGUCUCGCUGCUGGGUAAAGAAAACGGAGUGUGGGUGAAAAUACCCACAUGGAGCAGAGGGACGAUUAGACCCCGUGGAGCUUUAACACAAUUGGCCCCCUGUAAAAGGGUUGAGUAGUGUUUAGGCUGGGGCAGCCGAAUGGGAUAAGAAUACCAAUUGAGAGACUAAGAAAGCCGGCGAGCUAUUAACGAUCCACUGACAUCUAGUGAACGGCGGAACAACGUUACCCCGGGGGUAACAGGCUAAUUUCGCUCUGAGAGAUCCUGUUGAUGAGCGGGUUUGGCACCUCGAUGUUGGCUUAGGGUAUCCGGAAGAUGCAGGAGUCUCAAAGGGUGGUCCGGUU